GUUUUUAUAAUUUAAAUAAAAAUAUUAGUCUUGUAAACUAAAAAUAAGAUAAUCUUUAAAAACA
rnacentral:tRNA from 1 species